rnacentral:lncRNA from 1 species
CUUUGUAAUAGUUGAAUUGAAAAAGGAAGUAUUUUGAUUUCCUGUCUCUUUGUGUGAACAUCAACCAAGACUCUCUAACAUAAGGAUCCUGAAAUUUAGCAGGAUUAAGUUUCAGUAACUUUCCUACCUCUUUUCCCUUUUUCCUUGCAAACGGAGGGAGUGUAGGAUCAGGAUUUCAUGGAUGGGACUGGUAUUCCAGGGACAUGAGUAUAGUCCUUACUGACUCUACUGUGAUCUUAGGUGGCUUCCUGAAAUUAUUGCUGUUCAGCUGCAGAGCAGAGAUAACAUGGAUUCCCUCGAUCUCAGCCAUUCAUCUGCAUGUGUUCUGCAAAGAAGUCAAGGGAGAAGCUGUUCACUUCAAGCUCAUAUCCAGUGCUAUGUCAUCAAAAGCUCUGAUAUCUGCAAGGAUCAGUGAUGUCAGAGUGCAGCUGAGCUGAGCUUGGUUCCAGAAAGGGAUUCUGAUUACUCCUGCAAAGAACCUGUACUCCAUCUACUAUGGCAAGAUGAUGAAGAAACAGACUCACCAGCAUAUUUCUCCUCUUCCCUAAUUUCUUUUGCAAGAGCUUUCAUAGGAGGGUCCUUCACUAACUCAGAAAGCAAUUACUAGGGAAGACAUAUAUGAGUAACAGAAAUGAUAGGAUCUGACUAAGAACUUGCAGUACAUUGCAACUGCCAACUUGCCAGCUGGAAGAGGCCAAACAUUAAGGGUGUUUACUCACAAGCAAGCAACUCUACUACUUGGUCGUGACACUAUGCAGGUUUGGGGUAGGUUUUAGGGCAGCUGAAAUCACUCUUAAGCUUCCCUACUUUUACUAGCAGAUGCUGGUGGUUAUGUGAACAUGUCAAACGUUUCAUCAUCUUCUUCAGGCAUUCUCAAGAGUCUCUGGCAACCUGUCAAAUGAUGGAUUCUUCUACCAAGGCAGUAGUUUUAUUAAAUCAAUUAGCUACUUCUGAGUAUUUUUACCGUGAGUGAAAUUGCUGUUUUUGGCCUCAGAUCCCACCUUAUUCUAUGUUUCUGAUCUUCAUAUGCCUUAAAACACUCAGAAAGGAGGCACAAGUACUCAGGAAGGAGGUCCAAGUUCUAGGCAGAUUAGAUUAUGAGAAAACUUGGCGUGAAGAGAAACACUCACUGCUAGAUCACAGCAAGCUCAGAUCUUGGCAAGUUGGAUACUGAAAAUGAAAUUGUCAGUGGCUUCAGGUACAUUCAGAAAGAAGGUAUUAUGAGGCAAGUUUGAAAAUGAGAACUAUAUUUUGCACUCUGCAGACCACAGAGAUUUUAGAUACCUCAUAUCUUGUCUAAAGGAAAUUUUUCCCCUGCCCAAAUAGUGACAUUGACACAACUCAGAAUGAAAAAACUGUUAAGGUUUGGUAAUUCCUGGGCAUCGUAUGAGUUUCUUAGAAAGACUCUAUAAAUUAUGCUUCAAAAAAUGUGUCUGAAAAAAUAAUUUCUACAACAAUAACAGUGAGAGACAUAUUAGAAUAAUAAUGGUUGCAACUAAGAAGUACAACACUUUCCCAUAUUCUGUAGGUCUUCCUAAUUUACUGCCAGCUCUUCCUUGCUCAUCAGUUAGGUAUUAUAGCAGCUUAUCAACAUUUAUCACUCAAGGAGAACUUGAGUCUCUUAUUCUAUUGUAUAAGAAAUUUUGAAAAGUAAUUACUGAUAUUUUAUUGAAGACACGUAUUUUAGAAAACAUUGUCAGUAUCUGUAGACUUCACAAAGUGUAGCACUGAUAUUCUCUGGCAAAAACCUAACUUGGUUGAUUACUUACCUUUUGCGAUUGCACUAGGUCAGGUUAGAAUUGAGUUAAUUUUCUUCACAGCAGUCCAUAUAGUUCUUUUUUUAUAUUUGUGGCCAAAACAGUGCUGAUAACACAUCAGUCCUUUAGCUACUUCUGAACAGUUCUUUACACAGAGCCGAGGUUUUCUGUUUCUCACUCUGUCUCCCACAGUGAGUAGGUUGGAGUUGGGCAAGACAAGAAGGGGAUACAGCCAGGACAGCUGAUUCAAAUUGACCAGAGAUAUAUUCCACAUCAUAUAACAUCAUGUCCAGCAAUAAAAUGGGUAAUUUUCUCAUAGUAGCUAUUGCUUAGACUGACUGAGCAUCAAUCUGCUCGUUAGAGGUGGUGAGUGACUGGCUUUGCAUCACUUUUUUUUUAAUUUCCUUUCUUCUUCACUUAUUAAACUGUCUUUAUUCAUGCAUUUUUCUCACUUUGCCAUUCUGAUUCUCUCUGCCAUUCUGCUGAGGGCAGCAAGCAACUGCCUGGAGAUUUAGCUGCCAGCUGAGGUCAACCCAUUGUGAUGACACUGCAUUCCAACUGUGAUAUGAAUAAUGCUUUGGUCAUUUUUACAUUUUCAUGCAAUGUAAAAAUGAGCCUUUUUGACUUACCAAAGUUCCUGUUGUAAUGCUUCCAGUCUGUAUGGCAUAUAGGUCUUUUUUUGUCCUAUGUCAGGAAAGCUUCACAUGGAACACUCUUCUACAAAGGCUUCCUCCUUGAUAUUCUUUUUCACAUAAGUCACAAAGAUGGUGGUGAUCUCUUGCAGAGACUGACUGUGAUUCCUUCUUCUCUUCCUGCUAAAGGAAGACUUGCUAUUUACUGUAUCAUGUAGUCACUUAAACAGAAUAAUUGCACUUCCCCUCUUUCUAUGUGUCCUUUCAGGGAUUUUUGUCCUGGAGAUACUGUAUUACCAGUGAACACAGUUUUUGCUCCUAAAAUUCUCUUUGGAGAAGUAACUGAGCAGCCAUAAAAGACAGCAAGAAGGAUGUGAAAGGUAUAGAUGCAGUGGCUAACAGUAUUACAGCCCAAAUUAAUUCAUUCUAUAAUAUGUAGAACACCCAGAAAUCAAAAUUUAUACAGAUGCAGUAACUACCGCAUAUAACUUAUAUGGAGUAAAUAAGAGCUAUUUCUUAGAAGUAAAUAAACAUGUAACAGUAUGAAUUUUAUUUCAUGUUGUGAAACAAGCUAGUUUGUUUAAUUAUUUUCCUAACUCGAUGCAUUUCUAUGGUCUUUCUUUUGCAACUUGCAGAAGUAGGAUUUCCAGUGAUCUCUUCCAGUCCUAAUCUCCAGGAAUAUAGCUUUAUUGAAAUUCUCUUCUUAUAUUCAUGCCACUGACUUUCUGAAGUAGUUUUCCCAAAGGACUCCAUUCCUUCCACCAAUGGUUCUUUGUUCUACCCCCUGAAUGACAGAGGCUGCAUGUGAAUGAAAGAAAUGAUAUAUCAAAGUAUGUGGUGGGAAAUAAGACAUUCUGCUUUAAAAAUGAAUUUCAUCUCUCAUGUUUUGGUAUCUGUUCCAUCUCCAACCAUAACUCAUUGCCUCUCUCCUCCACAGCACACAGGGUGUUCCAGAUGGUAAUGGAGUAAUGAGUUAUACACAGGGCCUGCAGUUCUCAAAAUGCAACUCCAGGAAGCAAAAUGGUCCCACUGCUCUAAUGAAGACAGGGCACAAGGCCAGUCUGGUAGAGAACUCAUUUUGUUUUCCAAAUUAUGCCUGGCCUUAAGAACUUUUGAAAAUAUUAGAAAGUGAACUGGAAUCUCCAAAAAGAUUUAUUAUUUUACUGAAGAUUCAAAUUGAGCCAAUAGUCUAAUGUCAGUUAAAAACUGAAGCAAAAAUCAGAAAAGCAGUGAAUCCAUUGGAAAUAUAGUUUUUACUGAGGUGUGAAUGAAUGCCUAUGACAGGAUCUCAUGGAGUUUCUAGCUGAAAAGAAGGCUGCUCUCAGUUUAAUUCCUAAGUCAUGUUCUGUGUAUGCUUGCUUAGACAAAGCUGGUUGGAGCAUCCUUGACCAAAUCUGCCAACAUAAUUUAGUCACUGCUUUUGGUCUCCUCUGACUUAUAAAACUACAGCUUGGGAAAAAUAGUGUGAGGUUGUACUGUGAAUACUCUCCAUAAAUUCUCACCAAUUUUGUUUUUAUCGGUACUAGAUCAGUCCUGGCACUUCUUAUAAGGUAAAUGUAUUUGUUUACACUCAAAAUAGUUUAAAAAUUUUCAGUAAGUGAUGGGCCUAAACCAAAAUGCAGGUUCCAGUCACUUCUGUGCACCUUCUUACCUUGUAGCAACUGAAAAAGAAUGCUUUCUUUGCUUUAUUUUAACAGUUAAAGUGAUCUACAAAAAGGAUAAAUGGUUUUAGCAGAGUUCCUUUUGUGGUUUAUUUAAGAAGACUUAAAAAUGAUUUCUUUUUGAAUAUUUUUAGCAGAUUUUAAACAGUCUUUUUAAAAAAAAUCUUUAUGGAUAAGUGAAAGCAGUAUGUAAUGCAAUGAAUAUAAUUAUAUAUGAAGGAAAAGUAUAUAUUUAAUUGUGGCUUAAAUUUCAGGCUUUUUCCAUUUGCUAACACGUACAACUAAACAGUUGGCAUAAGAGAUGACUUUGGAAAGGACUUACUAUUCUGUUUUUCCAAUUAAAAUCAGAAGUAGACUACAGUUAUACCUGAGGUGAGUCUUCUAGAAAAUAAUCACAAAGUAAACAAACAAUAUAUUGAACUUCUGCUUGUUCAGAUUUUCGUUGUAUACAGAGAAUUUGCAUCGAGUGAAAAAACGUAGAAACGUUUCUGAUAGUCUGUAAAGGUAAGGUUUCAGAGAUCAGAGCAGUGGGCUCAGGACCAGCCCUUUGGAUUUAUGUAGUGACCAGCUGAUUUGUUGUGAAAGUUAGAAAUGGGAAAUGUUGAUCCUUCAGAAAGUCCAGCGAAGUUAUGUUCAAUAAGUCCUGUAGAUCUAAGGAUGUCAUUACCACUACUUAGAAAAGCUGACUGGGCACAGCUUUCAUUAACAUUCAAAGACCUCAGUGGUCUAAGUCACCUUUCUUUCGCAAUCUGAGACUAUUCCCUUGCCCGUAAUGUAUCAUAUUUUAGUCUUCAGAAGAGAACCUGCACUUGCCUGCUUAGCCAUUGAGCUCAUGUAUCUUAUGAACUUUGAAAGUUUUCCUACACCCUCUGGCUUCCAACAGAAUAAUCUCAUAUUUUCUGUUAGCUCUUUCUUGUUAGCAUUAGAAGCCUCAGAGACAUAUAACAAAUUGCUUGUGCAACCAGCUACCUUUCUUCCACUGUGCCAUGGUUUGGCUUCGACAGCACAGUCCUCAUUCUUCUCUUACAUGUGAGAAGUUGCUCACACAAUGCCUGUGGUCUUAGCUGACAGUAGGAGAACAGGCUUUUUAGAUGUGAAUAUGGUGCAUGGAUAGUUGCAUUACAGCCCAAGAUACUCUUGAGAAUUUAAUUUUAAACCUCGAUUAGUUGGGACAUACACAGUGAAAAUUAAAAUCCAAGCUGAUACUCUUGUUAUAAAUUAGAGUAGGAAGAUUAUAUGUAUAAAAGAUUUUAAGUGUAUAUAUUUCCUUUCUUCCCAGAACAUAGAUGCCAAAAUGUAAUCCAAGAUUUUCACCACUAAUUGAGUUUCUUUUCUUUGUCUGCUGAGGCUACAAUUGUAAAGUGUCUAAAGAGACUGUCUGGAGUUUUGGUUUUGCUUUCUUAGAGGAGAGAAUGAUUUGUUUUAUUAAAAAAAAAAUGCUGAUAAUUAGAUAUUCGACCUUAUUAGUGACAACACGGUUACUUUCUGAAAGAGUAUUCUGGCAACGGCAUUUAUAUUCUCAAAUAAUAGAUACAUCUCAUGUUUUGUCUGACAGUGUAUAGAAAUGAUGAGAUUGUUAUUUCCAUGGAUAGGUAUAUUUUUAUAGCUGAUUUGCACAAAAUCUCAACAGUAUUCAUCAGAUAGAUGAUAUAUAGCACUGAGCUGAAGCUCAUAAGACUUGGAUCCCUUCACAUCUUCCUGAGAACUGCUGGUAAAACAUUUUAAUAUCCUUGUACUUCAACUCUCUCUCCUGUUUGCAAAAUGAAGACUGUUUUAUUCUCCUCAGUGAAUUACUUUGAUGUCUAGUAGGCUUUCCCAGUCUAAGAUGGAGAGCAUUCAUUUUUCAUGACGUUGUUUGACAUUUAUUUUUCAAUCCUUUGUGAUACAUUGAUAUUGUUUUGAUAGUAAUGUAUUAGUCAUUACUCAUGUAAAAAAUUAAGCCAAGAACAUAGAAUUUUCUCCUUUUGGACCUCAAUCCUAACCUCAAUGAGAAUAUCAUCAAGAGAAUGGCUAAUUAUUAUCUGAAAUUUAUCCUGGUAUGCUACUUCUUAUGAGUAUAGCAAAAGUAUGCCAAAUAAAAUAUAAAUCCAAAACCUCUCAUAAUCUCAUAUUAUCUAUAGUAAAUGGCAGAAUUCAUUAUCUGUUUUGAAUAAUUAAAUUAUUGUCAUUGUUUCCAUAGCAGGAAAAAUUUGGAAGAAUCGUUUUAAGGAGCUUUCUCCAAAUUGGCUACUAUUCAAGUGAAGGUAGUUUUCCCGUUUCUGGAUGUUCUGACAGUAAAACUGCUUUUCUCUAAGAAAUGAGAUUGGAGUCUAUUUUGAUUAUAACAUUUACUGGAAAAACACUUUGCUUGUAAACUUAGAUACUCAGAGAAAAAUCUCAUAAAAAACAUCACUUUUGCUACUCAGCAGUGAAGGUUUCUUUUUGUCUGUACUAUGAACUGCCCAUCCAUUUUUUCUCUGAGCUUGGCAAAAGCAGGUUCAUUUAUCACUUUGACUCUCCUGGCUUUUGAGUCAGUAAAGUGCAGUUUGAACACCUCUUACAUCUUUUUCUCCUUCCUAUUUUUGAAAGAGAGCUACAAGUACUACACUGAACACAAGACAGACUUUCUCCUGAAGAGAUUUAAAGGUAAACACUUGAAAGACUAGACAUUCUAGGAAAUCCAGAUAUUUGGAAGGACAUGAAUGAAGAAAGGGUGAUGUCUUGGCAGAAGAUAGGCAUGAAUGUUUUUACCAAAAUUUGCUACUUAAUUUAGCUUGGGUGGUUCAAAAAAUUUCCUGCUGUUACCUGAAGAUUUCUCACUAUUACGUUAUAGGGACACAUUUGGUUCUUUAAAAGGGCCAUGUGAACAACUGAGGAGACUAACUCCACAUAUUCACAGGUUGAAGUUCAAAGUACUAGAACAAAUCUGUUUUAUACCUCUACCUAGGAAAGGAUCACUUUUUGUAGAGUUGGAAUAACCUCCACUUCCUUUCACUUUUUAAUCUUUCUUCCAACACUGCCAAGUUAGAGAUAUCAGUAUUGAGAAUUUCGUCAAACAUCUAUGUCUUCUUUGGAGAUCCUUUUUCAUACAUUUCCUGCAUGUACCUUCUGCAGUCAGGCUAACUCUUAUUUCCAAAUCUGUUAUCACUGUUCAGUUGCUCUUAAAAUAAAGCAGUAUUCGAUUGUUUUUACUUCUGUCAAAUUCCAUUGCUCAACAAGAGCACAGUAACAAUGACAGAGUAUGGAUGUUGAUUCGGAUUUCAACUUUCUAUCUUAACUGCAUGAGGUCUGUGCAUCGUAUUCCAUUGGAAAGCCAGAUCCCCUUGAAAUUCAUAUACUUAUGAGUUAUACAAGCAGUUAGAAAAGACUACAUUCUGUAUUUGGGUUACAGCACAUGGGAUAAAAAAAUAAACACAUCCUUUUGAUUUUUUUGAUUGUCUACACAUUAAUAUCAAUAAGAGUGUGAAUAAAAUUUGGAUUUUUGAUUAUUUUAAAUUGAUAUUUAUUUAUUUAUUUAUUUUAAAUCAGUUAACACAGAUGUAGGGAAGAAUACCUUUCAAUGAUGAAAAAUACACUCAAAACAAAUCAAGAACUACUUAAUUUUAACUUCUGAAACACCUUCUAGGGUUGUGUUAUGGAAUGAAAAACCUUUAUGUAUGGAGGUCUCGGAGGAGCUGCCAUUCAUUAAUGUUUUAAACAGAUGCCUCACUGAGCAACAUAUUUAAUUAGAGCUACAACUGUUGUGCUUAAACAAGACAGAUUUUUACUAGAGCAAGCAUAAAGUUGAAUUCACAGCUACAAUUAACCAGACUUGUUUGUACAGUGUGUUUUAUCAAACAGGUAGUGUAGCUUUUCAAAGACAUUAAUUUGAUUGCUGAUCAUUGCUAAAAACCACAAAACAUAGUUUGCAUGGAAACUGUAUUUUGCUACUCUUUCUACAGGGUCUGAUGCAAUUUCCAUAAUGAGACAUGAUGGGAGCAAGGUUGAGCUUUUGAAGUAUUGGUGUUAUAUGUAAAAUUAUGUUUACAUAUCUUGGUGACAUAUAUAAAAUAAUAGUAUUUGUAUAUGUAUAUACAGUAUUUAUAUGUACACAUUUCUUUGUGAAGGUCAUGAAAAAGUGUAUGGCAUGAUUAUUAUAUUACAUGUUUACGCUAUAAACAAGCAAAUAGGAAACACUUUCUCUUGGUUUCAGUAUAUGACCCGUAUGAAUGCUAAAAGGAUCAUUGACUACAUGCAGGACCCAGAACCACAAUACCUAAUUGCACUGAAUAUGCAGACAUAGCCAGGAUCAGAGUACAGAAUGACACCUUCACUCUCCUCAGUCUUCUGC